rnacentral:ribozyme from 1 species
AAGGAAACAAAAGGCACACAAAAAGAAAGAAAAUAUGUAAUUGGCAGCUCCUGCUGGCUGUCCAGCAGUUAGUCUGUUCUCCACAGAACUUUCUUGUCGCCUUUUUUCUUUUAUUUUUUUUUCUUCCUUCC